rnacentral:rRNA from 1 species
GUGGCGAACGGGUGAGUAACACGUGAGUAACCUGCCCUUAACUUCGGGAUAAGCCUGGGAAACCGGGUCUAAUACCGGAUACGACCUCCUGACGCAUGUCAUGGGGGUGGAAAGCUUAAUGCGGUUUUGGAUGGACUCGCGGCCUAUCAGCUUGUUGGUGGGGUAAUGGCCCACCAAGGCGACGACGGGUAGCCGGCCUGAGAGGGUGACCGGCCACACUGGGACUGAGACACGGCCCAGACUCCUACGGGAGGCAGCAGUGGGGAAUAUUGCACAAUGGGCGAAAGCCUGAUGCAGCGACGCCGCGUGAGGGACGAAGGCCUUCGGGUUGUAAACCUCUUUCAGCAGGGAAGAAGCGAAAGUGACGGUACCUGCAGAAGAAGCGCCGGCUAACUACGUGCCAGCAGCCGCGGUAAUACGUAGGGCGCAAGCGUUAUCCGGAAUUAUUGGGCGUAAAGAGCUCGUAGGCGGUUUGUCGCGUCUGCUGUGAAAGCCCGGGGCUCAACCCCGGGUCUGCAGUGGGUACGGGCAGACUAGAGUGCAGUAGGGGAGACUGGAAUUCCUGGUGUAGCGGUGAAAU